GAUGAACGCUGGCGGCGUGCUUAACACAUGCAAGUCGAACGGAAAGGCCCUGCUUUUGUGGGGUUCUCGAGUGGCGAACGCGUGCGUAACACGUGUGUAUCCUGCCCUUGUCUUUCGGAUAACUUAACGAAACUGGGGCUAAUACAGGAUAGGAUAUCCUGCUCCAUGGUGGGCGUUGGAAAGUUGCGGCGGUCGGGGAUGGACUGGCGGCUUAUGAGCUUGUUGGUGGGGUAGUCGCUUACCAAGGCUUUGACGGGUAGCCGGCCUGGGAGGUUGGACGGCGACAAGGGGACUAAGGUACGGACCAGACGCGAACGGGAGGCAAUAGGGGGGAGCAUUGCACAGUGGGCGGGAGCCUGAGGCGACGACGCCGGGUGCGGAAAGACGGCCUUCGGGUUAAGAACCGCUUUCGCCUGUGACGAAGCGUGAGUGACGGUAAUGAAUAAAGAAGCACCGGCUAACUACGUG
rnacentral:rRNA from 1 species